rnacentral:lncRNA from 1 species
GCUAAAUCUGAAAAAAUAUUAAUAAACAUAGUGUAUUACCAAAAGUCCGAAAUAUAAAACACAAAAGUUACUCAAAUCACCAAACUGAGUGUUCCCAAACCAAUCCCUUCAUUGAAAGACUUCAAGGUAAAGUCUGAUGCUGCAACCCAUAAAAUUAGCACCAGAGGAGGUGCUAAACCAUGUUUCCUGUAGGUACAGGUGGAAAGAUGACAAAAAUGGGACUGGAAUGUCCCAUCGCUUGCUCCCAAAUAGACCUAUUCCCAUGAUGACUUGACUGUGGAUGUAGUGGUUUCCCUAGGUGAUCAAAGGGCUACGAAUUCACCAUGUGGUUUCUCCAAAAUGGCUAAAAAACAUUCCCAGUUUUAUUUCCCAUUUUAAACAUGAGCAAAAAGUAAA